rnacentral:tRNA from 1 species
UAGAGCAUCUGACUUUUAAUCAGAGGGUCAGAGGUUCGAAUCCUCUAUGGCUCA